rnacentral:rRNA from 1 species
AAACUUUCAACAACGGAUCUCUUGGCUCUGGCAUCGAUGAAGAACGCAGCGAAAUGCGAUAAGUAAUGUGAAUUGCAGAAUUCAGUGAACCAUCGAAUCUUUGAACGCACAUUGCGCCCGCCAGCACUCUGGCGGGCAUGCCUGUUCGAGCGUCAU